GUACUAUUGCGGCCGCCCUCUGCUGCGCCUGAAGAGAGAGGCGACUCUACAAGCCUCACAGCAUGCACUGUUACUAAAAAGACGAUGCGUCCUCCUGGACCUGAGAUCUGUGUGAUCGUGGGAAAGCGACGAAAAACGAACAAAGGAACAGUAAAUGGAGUAACUUGGCUAGAAUAUGGCAGUAACUACAAGGCAUGUUCUGCUCUGGCACGAAGAUGCAGUCUCGCUCUGUCACCCAGGCUGGAGUGCAAUGGCACGAUCUUGGCUCACUGCAACCUCUGCCUCCCAGGUUCAAGCGAUUCUUCUGCCUCAGCCUCCUGAGUAGCUGGGAUUACAGACAACCCACCUGAGGCACCAGACACAUGAGUGAAGCCAUCUUGGACAUCCCAGUCACAGCCAAACUCACUCCUGAGUGCAUCUGCAUGAUGAACCCAGCAAUCCCCACCAUGGAGCAAAGG
rnacentral:lncRNA from 10 species